UACGUAGGGGGCAAGCGUUGUCCGGAAUCAUUGGGCGUAAAGCGCGCGCAGGCGGUCCUUUAAGUCUACCCGUGAAAUGCCGGAGCUCAACUCCGUGCACGCCGGGGGAUACUGGAGGACUGGAGACGAGUAGAGGCAAGCGGAAUUCCGGGUGUAGCGGUGGAAUGCGUAGAGAUCCGGAAGAACACCGGAGGCGAAGGCGGCUUGCUGGGCUUGGUCUGACGCUGAGGCGCGAAAGCGUGGGGAGCGAACAGG
rnacentral:rRNA from 1 species